GGUCUCCCAACGCUCGGGAGACUCGCAGGUCGCCCGGGACGCGAGGAGUCCCCGUGCCUUGGUCCUGGCCCGCCCUCUUCUCCAGUCCAGGGUUGUCACACCAAGGUAACAGGCUCAAAGCAGCUGUGAGCCCUAGGUAACUAAAUUCCCUAGUACCCAGAAGAGAAAAAAGAGGAAAAAGGCAAAACAGAUGAUGAUAUUUCAUGGUGAUAAUGAAAGACGCUUGUGCUGACUGCUGCAUUCUGGCCGUAAUGUGAAUAAAAUAAUUCUGGAAAGAGCCUCUCUCUGCAUUGGGUGAGAAGAAGCAAUACAUACUUUCAGGGACUCCAACUCUGUAGUUGCUCUUAAAACCAUUUA